GAUGAACGCUGGCGGCGUGCUUAACACAUGCAAGUCGAACGAAGCACUUGAAUGGAAUUCUUCGGAAGGAAGCUCAAGUGACUGAGUGGCGGACGGGUGAGUAACGCGUGGGUAACCUGCCUCAUACAGGGGGAUAACAGUUAGAAAUGACUGCUAAUACCGCAUAAGCACACGUGAUCGCAUGAUCGAGUGUGAAAAACUCCGGUGGUAUGAGAUGGACCCGCGUCUGAUUAGCUAGUUGGUGGGGUAAUGGCCCACCAAGGCGACGAUCAGUAGCCGGCCUGAGAGGGUGAACGGCCACAUUGGGACUGAGACACGGCCCAAACUCCUGCGGGAGGCAGCAGUGGGGAAUAUUGCACAAUGGGGGAAACCCUGAUGCAGCGACGCCGCGUGAAGGAUGAAGUAUUUCGGUAUGUAAACUUCUAUCAGCAGGGAAGAAAAUGACGGUA
rnacentral:rRNA from 1 species